rnacentral:rRNA from 1 species
GUAGUCUGCAACUCGACUACAUGAAGCUGGAAUCGCUAGUAAUCGCGAAUCAGCAUGUCGCGGUGAAUACGUUCCCGGGUCUUGUACACACCGCCCGUCACACCAUGGGAGUCGGAAAUGCCCGAAGCCAGUGACCCAACCAUAAGGAGGGAGCUGUCGAAGGUGGAGCCGGUGACUGGGGUGAAGUCGUAACAAGGUAUC